UACAGAGGGGGCAAGCGUUGUUCGGAAUUACUGGGCGUAAAGGGCGCGUAGGCGGCCCUCUAAGUCAGACGUGAAAUCCCCCGGCUUAACCUGGGAACUGCGUCUGAUACUGGGAGGCUUGAGUAUGGGAGAGGGAUGUAGAAUUCCAGGUGUAGCGGUGAAAUGCGUAGAUAUCUGGAGGAAUACCGGUGGCGAAGGCGGCAUCCUGGACCAUAACUGACGCUGAGGCGCGAAAGCUAGGGGAGCAAACGGG
rnacentral:rRNA from 1 species